rnacentral:rRNA from 1 species
UUACCCGCUGAAAACUAAGCAUAUCAAUAAGCGGAGGAAAAGAAACUAACAAGGAUUCCCCUAGUAACUGCGAGUGAAGAGGGAAGAGCUCAAAUUUAAAAUCUGACAGGUCAUCCCUUUGACCGGUCCGAGUUGUAAGUUAGAGAAGCGUUUAUCCGCGCCAGCCUGUGCAAAAGUCUCUUGGAAAAGGGCAUCAUAGAGGGUGACAAUCCCGUCUUUGGCACAGAUAACUGGGGCUUUUGUGAUGCGCUCUCGAUGAGUCGAGUUGUUUGGGAAUGCAGCUCUAAACGGGUGGUAAAUUCCAUCUAAAGCUAAAUAUUGGCGAGAGACCGAUAGCGCACAAGUACCGUGAGGGAAAGAUGAAAAGAACUUUGAAAAGAGAGUCAAACAGUACGUGAAAUUGUUGAAAGGGAAACGCUUGAAGUCAGUCGCGUCCUUUGCAAAUCAACUUGACCUUCUGGUUGAGUGCACUUUCCAUUUGGACGGGUCAGCAUCAAUUUUGACCGUCAGAUAAAGACCUUUGGGAAAGUGACAUUCUUUAUUGGAUGUGUUAUAGCCCUGGGUUCAGAUAUGACGGAUGGGAUUGAGGAACUCGGAAGACCGUCCUUCUUGGAUGGAUCUUUCUAGGAUGCUGGCAUAAAUGGCUUUAAUCGACCCGUCUUGAAACACGGACCAAGGAGUCUAACGUGCAUGCGAGUGUUUGGGUGGAAAACCCAAGCGCGUAAUGAAAGUGAAAGUUGGGAACCUUGUCAUGGGGUGCACCGACGCCCGGACCUGAUCUUUUGUGAAGGACCUGCGGUAGAGCAUGUAUGUUGGGACCCGAAAGAUGGUGAACUAUGCCUGAAUAGGGUGAAGCCAGAGGAAACUCUGGUGGAGGCUCGUAGCGAUUCUGACGUGCAAAUCGAUCGUCGAANUUNGGUAUAGGGGCGAAAGACUAAUCGANNC